UACAGGGGGUGCAAACGUUGCUCGGAAUCAUUGGGCGUAAAGCGCACGUAGGCGGUCUGUUAUGUCGGAUGUGAAAGCCCUCAGCUUAACUGAGGAAGUGCGCCCGAAACUGGCGAGCUUGAGUGUCGGAGAGGAUAGCGGAAUACCCGGUGUAGAGGUGAAAUUCGUAGAUAUCGGGUGGAACACCAGUGGCGAAGGCGGCUAUCUGGACGACAACUGACGCUGAGACGCGAAAGCGUGGGGAGCAAACAGG
rnacentral:rRNA from 1 species